rnacentral:rRNA from 1 species
CCCUUAGACGUUCCGGGCCGCACGCGCGCUACACUGACCAGUGCAACAAGCAUCCGUCCUUGGCCGACAGGCCCGGGCAAUCUUUGAACGCUGGUCGUGAUGGGGAUAGACUUUUGCAAUUUUUGGUCUUCAACGAGGAAUUCCUAGUAAACGCAAGUCAUCAACUUGCAUUGAUUACGUCCCUGCCCUUUGUACACACCGCCCGUCGCACCUACCGAUUGAAUGGUCCGGUGAAGCCUCCGGAUUGGCGCGCACCUCGGUGCCGCCGAGAAGUUGGCUAAACCUUACCAUUUAGAGGAAGGUGAAGUCGUAACA